GCGCCUGUAGCUCAAAUGGAUAGAGCAUCUGCCUUCUAAGCAGGUGGUUGUGCGUUCGAGUCGCACCAGGCCCA
rnacentral:tRNA from 1 species